rnacentral:rRNA from 1 species
CGUUAGCGGCGGACGGGUGAGUAACACGUGGAUAACCUACCUAUAAGACUGGGAUAACUUCGGGAAACCGGAGCUAAUACCGGAUAAUAUAUUGAACCGCAUGGUUCAAUAGUGAAAGACGGUUUUGCUGUCACUUAUAGAUGGAUCCGCGCCGCAUUAGCUAGUUGGUAAGGUAACGGCUUACCAAGGCAACGAUGCGUAGCCGACCUUAGAGGGUGAUCGGCCACACUGGAACUGAGACACGGUCCAG